rnacentral:lncRNA from 1 species
GUAUAACUGUGUCCGUUUAAAUUUAUAUUCUAUGGACCAUAUUUUAUAAUUUGUGCCGUUUACCGACUCUUCCUGGAUAUUUAUACCGUGUGGAACUUUUCCAAUGGUUGUACCGUGUGUUAUUUGACAUUUUUGUGACAUUUAUUGACAUUUUUGUGACAUUUAUUGACAUUUUAUUUGCAUUGAUUUAUAUUUUUGUUAAUUGUUUUGAACACAUCUAUUUUAAAUAGUUCUUUUCCCAAAUAUUAUUUUCUUUAAUAUUUGUCCUAAGGGGGGAGGAUUGUAAUAGAUGUGCCUUGAUGUGCCUAGGUUAAUUCCCCUUAAUUUGGACAGAUUAAUUAUUUAGUAUGUAAAUGUUUAUUUUUGGUUUGAUUUGGUUUAAACAUAGUAAGAUAAAAGUAAGGAUUAUUUAUUUAACUGUUUUAGUAUUUAACUUUUGAUGUUUUUAUAAUGUUUUAAGAAUAUUCAUUUAUUUAACUUUUCUUCAGUACCUUUUAUGUUAAAGUUGGCCUGUUUAAUGACAAGUUUAUGAUAUCAUUUGAUAUUCAGUCGGAGUCGGCCUUGCACAGGCCUCCAAAUACUCGCCGGAACUAAAAUUAGUACCACUAAAGUCUAGAGUUAGCCACCACUUCGGUGCAGUUCGCCAGAGUUAGUCAACCCUUUUUGGUGCAAUUUUACUACUUUAAAACACAACGAGAAGCAAAUUUACUUUAUUUUACUUGAAAGAAUAACUCUGGG